rnacentral:rRNA from 1 species
CGCCCUUAGAGUUUGAUCAUGGCUCAGAUUGAACGCUGGCGGCAGGCCUAACACAUGCAAGUCGAGCGGAAGGGAGCUUGCUCCCUUUUAGCGGCGGACGGGUGAGUAAUGCCUAGGAAUCUGCCUGGUAGUGGGGGAUAACGUUCCGAAAGGAACGCUAAUACCGCAUACGUCCUACGGGAGAAAGCAGUUCGUUGCGCUAUCAGAUGAGCCUAGGUCGGAUUAGCUAGUUGGUGAGGUAAUGGCUCACCAAGGCGACGAUCCGUAACUGGUCUGAGAGGAUGAUCAGUCACACUGGAACUGAGGCACGGUCCAGACUCCUACGGGAGGCAGCAGUGGGGAAUAUUGGACAAUGGGCGAAAGCCUGAUCCAGCCAUGCCGCGUGUGUGAAGAAGGUCUUCGGAUUGUAAAGCACUUUAAGUUGGGAGGAAAGGGCAGUAAUAAUUUGCUGUUUUGACGUUACCGACAGAAUAAGCACCGGCGAACUUCGUGCCAGCAGCCGCGGUA